rnacentral:rRNA from 1 species
GUGGGGAAUAUUGCGCAAUGGGGGAAACCCUGACGCAGCGACGCCGCGUGAGCGAAGAAGGCCUUAGGGUUGUAAAGCUCUUUCAGCUGGGAAGAUAAUGACGGUACCAGCAGAAGAAGCCCCGGCUAACUCCGUGCCAGCAGACGCGGUAAUACGGAGGGGGCUAGCGUUGUUCGGAAUUACUGGGCGUAAAGCGCGCGUAGGCGGACCAGAAAGUUGGAGUUGAAAUCCCAGGGCUCAACCUUGGAACUGCCUUCAAAACUCCUGGUCUGGAGUUCGAGAGAGGUGAGUGGAAUUCCGAGUGUAGAGGUGAAAUUCGUAGAUAUUCGGAGGAACACCAGUGGCGAAGGCGGCUCACUGGCUCGAUACUGACGCUGAGGUGCGAAAGCGUGGGGAGCAAACAGGAUUAGAAACCCCAGUAGUCC